UACGUAGGGUGCAAGCGUUGUCCGGAAUUAUUGGGCGUAAAGAGCUUGUAGGCGGUUUGUCGCGUCUGCUGUGAAAUUUCGGGGCUCAACCCCGAACUUGCAGUGGGUACGGGCAGACUAGAGUGUGGUAGGGGAGACUGGAAUUCCUGGUGUAGCGGUGGAAUGCGCAGAUAUCAGGAGGAACACCGGUGGCGAAGGCGGAUCUCUGGGCCAUAACUGACGCUGAGGAGCGAAAGCAUGGGGAGCGAACAGGA
rnacentral:rRNA from 1 species